rnacentral:rRNA from 1 species
AGAAUCAACGCUGGCGGCGUGCCUAACACAUGCAAGUCGCACGAGAAAGUGGAGCAAUCCACGAGUAAAGUGGCGCACGGGUGAGUAACACGUGAAUGAUCUACCUCCGAGUGGGGAAUAACUGAGAGAAAUCUUAGCUAAUACCGCAUAAUACCCACGGGUCAAAGCAGCAAUGCACUUGGAGAGGAGUUCGCGGCCGAUUAGCUAGUUGGCGGGGUAAUGGCCCACCAAGGCGAUGAUCGGUA